UUUAGCCUACGGGACGCAGCAGUGGGGGAUAUUGCACAAUGGGGGGAACCCUGAUGCAGCGACGCCGCGUGGGUGAAGAAGUAUUUCGGUAUGUAAAGCCCUAUCGGCAGGGAAGAAUUUAGACGGUACCUGACUAAGAAGCCCCGGCUAACUACGUGCCAGCAGCCGCGGUAAUACGUAGGGGGCAAGCGUUAUCCGGAUUUACUGGGUGUAAAGGGAGCGUAGACGGCAGUGCAAGUCCGGAGUGAAAGCCCGGGGCUCAACCCUGGGACUGCUCUGGAAACUGUA
rnacentral:rRNA from 1 species